UUAUUUCAACAGCAACACUGGCUCGCCUGAGCCCAGAAACUUGCGACAAAGAGCAGGAGGGUGGGGAGGUUCAAGAGAGCUAGCGAUGAUCAAGAGGCAAGGGUUGGAAAAGAACUUAUGAUCUGAUUCUUAAACUAGAGGAUGUGAUAUACUAGGGGUCCUUAGACGCAAGCGCUGAAGGGUUCCCAAGUUUUACACAUACACCCUCGGGUUGAAGAAAAGAUCACAGCCGAACCCUCGGGCGAGGCGGAUAAGGGUCGGCGGAACAGAUAGGGUCGGGCGAGACAGAACCGGGGUCGGGCGGAUAGGAGGGGUCGGGCGAGGCGGACUGGGGUCGGCAACUCACCUUCUUCCUGAAAGGAAAGCUCGGGGUCGGGAAGAAGCAGACUUGGGCGGAAGGUCUAAAGCUUCGAGCAAGGGCUAAGACUGGGACUGCUACGGCAGCGGCGGUGCUUCUUGCAGAUCACAAGAGAGCUUUUACGCAGCACGAAGGAGCAAGCUGCGGGGUGACUUGGAGAAAACUGAGAGAGAAUCUGAGAGAAGAAUUCCUGAAGAACUUGGUGGUUGGCGCUAAGAGCUUGAGCAGGGAGCGAGAGAAGGCUGAAGGCAACAACGGCGGAAGAAACUCCGGUGACUGGGGCAUUCCUUUUAUAGCUGCUGGAACGGAGAAGGAAGCGGCGCGGGAGAGAGAGAAGGGGAGUGGCGCGAAGGCUGGGGAGAAACAAUGGAGUGCUCUGCCGGGGCGGCGAUUGAGCGAAGAGGGCGGUGCUGCAGAACUCCGGGGGUGACGCCAGUGAUCAUUGCGUUCUGUCGUCAGGGCGGCGUAGGGGCGGUAGACCGGUGGUUGAGAUUUGGUGGAAAGCGGGCGUCGCCGUGCGGAAGAUUUUAUAGAAGCGACCGGUUUAACGGCGCUAGAAUCAAGGGCGCUCAGGUGAGAGGACAGGCAGCUGCGGGCGCGGGCGAGAGCGCGGAACAACAGAUUGUCGGGCGGCUUCUGACAAGGCGGGGGAAAGGAGCUGUCGCGGCCGCGGUCGGGGUUGGCGGUGGAGGAAUCGUCGGGUAGCGGAGACCGGGCGACGCGACUGUGGCUGAAGGGACGGAAAAGACGAGUGACAUCGGGCUCUGGGGCCGGGAUCUGGCGGCGUGAUGAUGGGCGCGGGAGGCGAGGCUCUGCAGAAAGGGGUGUAGAGGAGCUUCCGCUGCCAUUGGGGAAAAGAGGCGCGAGAAACCACUCGGUCGCUUGCCAGAGACAAAACUGAGCGGCUGGCGUCGGAGAAGACAAGCCACGCGGCAGGGAGACUCUGAAGCGGGCAUGCAACUCGAGUGCGGCUGUCGCGGAGGAUCUGAGAAAAGAUCUCACGGGUCCACCGGUGGAUAGAACGGAUGGUUGAGGAAGACUAGCAGGAUCCGACGGUGGGCUGCGCUGGCCGGGGUCGGGGGAGGAACGAAGCGGGGAGGGGUCGGAUCUCAGGGGUCGGAACCAGGCGGAUAGCUGAGCACUUAGGCGCGGUCAAGCAAGACAGAUGACUAAGGAAAAAGGGCUCCGAUUAGAUUAACUCGGGAGGUUUAGGGGUCGGUCGUUACAGCAUACCCCUCUUAAAAAGAAUCUCGUCCCGAGAUUCAGGGAUCAAGGGGGUGUGCUGUCCUUACCUCCUUGAUGGGAUAGAAAACCUGGGAAACGCUUGUUCAGAUAUUCGUCCGUUUCCCAUGUUGCUUCAUCUUCGGUGUGGUUUCUCCAGAGGAUCUUGUACAUCUUUACCACUUGGCGUCGGGUGUGCCUUUCCUUUUGGUCAAGAACUCGAUCUGGGUACUCGGCAUAGGUCAGGUCGGGCUCUACCUGAAGCUGUUCUUGCUCUAAGAUCUCUGCUGGAACUCGGACACAUUUCUUCAGUUGAGACACAUGGAAAACAUUGUGUAUGGCCGAUAGCUGUUCUGGGAGUUGGAUCCGAUAAUCAACGGGUCCACAUAUCUCCACAAUCUCAUAAGGGCCAAUAUAGCGGGGAGCUAACUUGCCUUUGAUUCCAAACCGUUGCACUCCUUUGGUCGGGGAUACUCGAAGGUACACAUGAUCACCAAGGUCGAACUGCAGGGGUCUUCUCCUCCGGUCGGAGUAACUCUUCUGUCGAGAUUGGGCAGCCUUGAGAUUUGCGUGAAUUACCUUUACUUGCUCUUCGGCUUCUGCCACUAAGUCAGGGCCAUACACCUGUCUUUCUCCUGGUUGGGAUCAGUUCAAGGGUGUCCUGCAUCUCCGGCCAUACAGGGCUUCGAACGGUGCCAUCUUCAAACUGGCCUGGUAGCUGUUAUUGUAGGAGAAUUCUGCUAAGGGCAGACACUUGUCCCAAUUCUUGUCAUAGUGGAUAACACAAGCUCUUAACAUGUCUUCGAGGAUCUGAUUGACUCUCUCGGUUUGACCAUCGGUUUGCGGAUGAUAUGUUGAGCUUCGGAUGAGCUUGGUGCCCAUGGAUGCUUGUAGUUGCUCCCAAAAACGUGCCACAAACUGAACUCCUCGAUCAGAGAUGAUGGUCUUGGGUACACCAUGUAGGGAAACUAUGCGAUCGAGGUACAACUCUGCAUACUGUUUGACUGUGCAGGUGGUGCGAACAGGAAGGAAGUGGGCGGUCUUGGUCAGACGGUCCACUAUAACCCAGAUGGAAUCAUAUCGUUGCGCUGUAAGGGGUAGUCCAACUAUGAAAUCCAUGCUGAUGUCUUCCCAUUUCCAAGAGGGAAUAGGUAGCGGCUGCAGGGUACCUGCUACCUUUAAAUGACUGGCUUUGACACGUUGACAGGUAUCACAUUCUGAAACAUACCGAGCUACCUCGAGUUUCAUUCCACUCCACCAAAAGGUCUGACGGAGAUCAUGGUACAUCUUAUUGCUGCCAGGAUGGAUUAAGAACUUGGAGAGAUGAGCUUCAUCUAGGAUCUGCUUUCUCAACUCGGGGUCGGCUGGUACUACUAGUCGGUUUCCAUAAUGCACACUUCCCUUUUGGUCCUGUCGGAACUGCUUAUAUCCUUCAUCCUUUACUGAGAUCUUACUGAUGAUCCGUUGUAUUUCCUUAUCUUUUACUUGUGCUGAUCGAAUUUGGUCUUCCAAAAUUGAGUCAAGGAUGAGGUGACCAAGGGUUCCUUGAGAAACAAUCUCCAAUUUGAGUUUUCCCAUCUCGUGACACAGAGUCUUGGUGAAGGCUGCUAACAACAAGCAGUUGCAAUGGUGUUUGCGACUGAGGGCAUCGGCUACCACAUUGGCUUUGCCGGGAUGAUAGUGCACUUCCAGUUCAUAAUCCUUUAUCAACUCCAGCCACCUUCUCUGGCGCAUGUUGAGGUCGGCCUGAGUGAAGAUGUACUUGAGGCUCUUGUGGUCGGUGUAGAUGUUGCAGUGAGCUCCUAUUAGGUAGUGCCUCCAUAUCUUCAAGGCAUGUAUCACUGCUGCCAACUCGAGGUCAUGGGUUGGGUAGCUUAGCUCAUGAGGUCGUAACGCCCGUGAGGCAUAGGCAAUGACUCGAUUGUCUUGCAUAAGAACAUAUCCGAGUCCAGUGCCAGAGGCGUCACAGUAUACGUCAUACGGCCUAGAGGGGUCGGGCUGAGCCAAAACUGGGGCUGUGGUCAGCAAGUGCUUCAGGGUCUUGAAGGCUUCUCCACACUUGCUGUCCCACACAAAUUUGACCUCUUUCUUCAGCAACUCGGUCAUCGGCUUAGCUAUCUUGGAGAAAUCCGGUAUGAAACGCCGAUAGUAACCUGCCAGUCCAAGGAAACUUCUGAUCUGGUGUACUGAGGCAAGAGACUUUCAUUCUAUGACUUCUUGCACCUUACUGGGAUCCACGGCGAUACCAUCCUUGGAGAUAGUGUGUCCCAAAAACUUGACACUAUCUAACCAAAACUCACACUUGGAGAACUUGGCAUAAAGCUGGUGAUCUCUUAGCCGUUGGAGAACUACACGAAGAUGGUCGGCAUGUUCUUCUUGGCUCUUCGAGUACACUAGGAUAUCAUCAAUGAACACCACUACAAACUUGUCCAGCUCGGGCAUAAACACCGAGUUCAUGAGGUACAUGAAAUAGGUGGGUGCAUUGGUGAGUCCAAAGGACAUGACUAGGUACUCAUACAGUCCAUAUCUGGUAGAGAAAGCUGUCUUGGGUAUGUCGCAGGGUCGAAUCUUGAUUUGGUGAUAACCAGAACGAAGAUCGAUCUUGGAGAACACCUUUGCUCUGGCUAACUGAUCAAAUAAGACAUCAAUGCGUGGCAGUGGGUACUUGUUCUUGACUGUCACCGCAUUGAGGGGUCGGUAAUCCACACACAUACGUAGACUGCCAUCCUUCUUCUUCACAAACAGGGCAGGGCAACCCCAAGAUGAGGUACUGGGUCGGAUGAAACCUUUUUCCAACAGAUCAUGCAACUGGGUCUUCAACUCGGCUAACUCAGUGGGUGGCAUCCGAUAGGGUCUCUUAGAUAUUGGGGCUGUGCCAGGAAUCAACUCUAUGGAAAACUCCACUUCUCUAUCAGGUGGCAUACCCGACAAAUCUUCUGGAAACACAUCAGGGUACUCACAGAUAACAGGGAGGUCUUCCAGACGGGCUCCCGACAGGGGGUAGGCACAAGGAAGUGCAGACUCAGGAUGGGUCAAGGAUAUGGUAGAACUGCCAUGGGAGGGCGAGGUGAUGUAGAGAGAUCGGGCUACUGUAUCUAGAACCACAUGAUGUCGGGCCAUCCAAUCCAUACCAAGGAUGACAUCUAUGCCUUCUAGGUCAAGGAUGAUAAGGUUUUCCUUGAAGAGGGUGGGGCCUAGCUGGAGAGGUACAAGAAUAACAAUCUGAUCCGAUGUUAUCCUUCCUCCAGGAGUGGCGAUCACAUAAGUUUCCUUAGUGUGACCGACAUCUAGCCCACAUCCUUCCCUAGCCUUACUCCCGAUAAAGCUAUGAGAGGCUCCCGAAUCAAACAGCUUGAUUUAAAACAAGGAAAGUACCCGUCAUUACUGGCGCACCUUCGGGGAGUUUGGUCAAGCUGGUGUAGUUGAGUUGGCCUUGUCGGACUUGCACCUUGGGCCUUCUUCCUCUGGCUGCCAUGGGGUUUGGACCUUGCUGUUGAUUCUUGUUCCUAGGGCAGUCCUUUGCAAAAUGUCCUUCAUUGCCGCAGGUAAAACAACGGUUACUGGCUGCCGGGCGAGGUGGUGUUGGCAGGGUCGGCCGGGGCACUUGCGGUUGGAAGCCUGGAAAACGAGGCGCUGUUACGGGCGGGGGUCGGGCGAUCCAUCUUCCUGACUGUUGGGGUCGGCCAGGGGCUUGCGGAGGAACCAUCCGGAACUUUCGAGUCGGCGGACUCAGAAAUGCCACAGAGGCCUUCCUCUUCUGGUCGGCCUUGAGAGCUUGCAUGCAGUCUUCUUGGGAAAUGGCCAGAUUGACCAACUCAUUGUAUGUAUCCACCUUGAUGGGGUUCAACCUUUCCCUGAGCUCCAAGCUCAGUCCUCGGCGGAAUCUGUCCCGCUUCUUCUCGUCGGUGUCCGCAUGGUAGCCAGCAUAACGGCACAGGUCGUUGAAAGCUUGGGUGUAGUGCAGCACAUCUCGAGUUCCUUGGGUGAGGGCCAGAAACUCGUUGAGCUUGCGCUCCAAAAGACCUUCUGGAAUAUGAUGCGCCUUGAACGCCGUCUUGAACUCGUUCCAACUGACCACGUGGCCAGCCGGCAGCAUGGCAUGGUAGUGAUCCCACCAAAGCCGCGCGGAGCCACGCAGCUGUUGGGCUGCAAACCGAGCCUUGUUGUUGUCGGGGCAUGGAGCGGUGAGAAGCUCAAACUUGGAUUCGAUCGUACGAACCCAAGCGUCAGCAUCGAGCGGUUCUUGUGUCUUUUGGAACAGAGGGGGUUGUGUCCCCAGGAAGUCCUCAUACCGAGCAAUAUGCGGCUGCUGCUGAGCUCUUCCACCAUGUGGCUGUUGCUGUUGCCCUUGCACCAAAUGCCUUAGCAGCUCAGUUUGAGUUGCUAGGAUCGCCUCCAGUGGAGAUGAAGGCGGGGGCGGGGGAAGAUCCUGUCGCUGAUCACUACUGCCGGGCACAGAACUAGACCUGGUGCGAUGCGCCAUCUGCAAGAGUUAACGCUCCAUUAAUUUCAUAACCUUAGGUGCACUCCAACAAAUGGAACGUACAAUUUAAAUCCCUUUAAUGCGACUCUUGCCAAUGGUGCAACACACGUCCUUAUGAGGGAAACACACUUUUCUCAUUCUCAGAGCAGAUGACAUCUAUCUUGACCUGGUACUCAACUUCGGCAAAACAUGUCACAUUCAGACUCUUAUGAUCCAACUCAAGCCAAAGGGUCGGACACGGUCCAUACUUAAAAAGGGUCGGACGAGGCGGAAACUGCCUCAAAGGGUCGGCGCACUCGGUCUCACAAGCUGGGGUCGGCCAAAGAACAGGUUCUCAGAACACAGCAUAUGGUCAUGGCGCAACUUACUCAACCUAGCAUCCACACCAUACAAAGAUGAAAAAGCUAUGCACCCGAAUUGAAUUUAUAUACAAGGAUGUUCCAACACAGGGAGUACUCAACUCUAGGCUAACCUAUUACAACUUUUCCAAAAUCUAGGCUGCCGAGGAGUACAACAAAAAGAUGGUUCCCUGAGAACCCUUAAUCUACCACUGGACACUAUGAGUCGGAGAAGGGGCGCCAUCUUCCUCAAUAUCCAUGCUGGACGCUCCCUCGUCUUCCUCAGGGUCCUCCUGAGCUUCAAGCUGCAUGUUGAGGGCAUGCAUAUCUUCGAGCUCAGCUUGAUGCUCCUCCAGAUGGGCAUUGGCAACUGCCAAUUCCAUUUCCACCUCCAUCUUUUCCUCCGAGAGCUCUAUCAUGCCGUCCACGAGGUCGGCAACCUCUCCUUCAAGCUCGGAGAUCCUAUCUUACAUGUUGUGGAUCUGGAUACCCCGGCGAAUCAGCUGGUAGGUUUGGCCUACCAUAUCUCUUCUUGCUGCCUGGAGGUACCCGUGAGUAUCUGCUGCCGUCCGGGCGAAGAGGGUCAUGGCUCUCCCUUGAAGCUCUAUCAACCGGUAGAGAGCGGCCAUGCACCUGAUGUUGGUGGAGAUGGUGACCAGGGCGCAGGUGGUGGCUAGCACUUCGAUGUUCCCGACGCGGUCAAGCCAUGCCGGGUCCAGCCGGUUCCUGACGGGGAAGAGGCCGAUCGGGUCGAGCGUGAUCUCCACGGGGUGCAGCUGACAGAACUGGGUGAGCAACUGGAGGGCGGCAGAUUCCCAUAUAUCCUCAGGAGCGAGGCCAUAGACUAUUAUGCCAAAAGAGGGCCAGUCGGGCCGUGCAGGGGGAGGAGGUACCAAGGCCUGCACCUGGCACGUCUGGACGCCCUGCUCCAAAUAUAACCGUCCGGCAUAUAGGGGUGGGGACUGGUACCCGAACCACUUCAAUGUAUCCCACAAAAUCGCGGGGAAUCCCUAGAAAUGUAGACAUGUCGACUGGAAGGUACCGUCUGCUCCAAAAACAACAUGUCCGGGAACAGCCAUCUGGAACCAAGAACCAAAACCACGUGAGACAGAUUCCAAGGGUCAGGGGUCGGAUAGAGAAACAUUCGGUUUUAACUGAGAGGAACUAAAAGAACUAGAAAUCCUUAGAUCCAAAAGAACUCUUCUGAACAAGGUUGCUGUUGAGAGGGAACAUUACAGAUUUUUAGGUAUGACGCAUGCACGGCCUACCUUACACUUAACCCAAAACAACUGCCCGAACUCGGGUCUUACGCGGUCAGUGCCGGUGACAAGGCAACAAUUACGUCUCUCCCUAUAAUAACUAGUCGGUUCUACAACGCCUCCUAAACGAACGCGGUUAGCGUACCUGCAGAAAAACACCACACACGAACCUUUCGUGCCAGCACCCACGAAAGCGUUCCAUAACAUUACCGCUCACUAUAGGAACGGCACCCAUGCGUUUAAGGCUGCAUGGACAGCACUCAACCGUGGAAAUAUGUUCCUCUUGAAUAGAACCAUAUAACCCUUCGCAUACUCGUGAUGCGGAAUCGGCACACGUAUGACAAACGUGGCGAACCGACCGUGCUGAUAGGUUCGUUGGAAUCGAACCGUACCAACCUUCGUAUGGAACACAUACGAAACCUGCACAUGUGUGAUAGACGUGGGCGAAAACAACCGCGAAGAUAGGGUCCUUUGAAUGGAACUCCCUAUCAACCCUCGCAUGCUCGCGAUGCGGAACUCGGCACACGUAUGACAGACGUUGCGAAGUGCUGGAAGGGUUAGCAAAAUAACCAAGUACUUAUUAGUCACCUAAAACAACCCCAAAAUCCCCUAGGGCCUCUCGCACUAAGGUCAUCCUUAACGGUCGUACGAGAUUUUUCAAAAAUUUCUUGCAACUUUUAUCCCUUCAAAGAAGUGUGUAGGGCUUGUUGGGUUCUCUGAAAUGCUAAACACGAGCUCUGAUACCAGCUAUGGCGGAUCCACUUCGGAUUAGCUUGAUUUAGAUAGGGUUAAGCCGCCUAACAUGCGACACUCCUGUCUAAGCCGAGUUAACACGAAGUGCCGUCGGAUUUCCUCCAAUUUAACCACUUAGACAGGAUCGAGUUUAGCAACCCACGCGAAGGUGAGAGGUUCCAGAGAAUACAACGAGUCCACUGAAUUAAACAAAUUUACCCAUUUAGUUCGGCCAUAAAAUCCAAUAUCAGAGUUUUACAAGAUUCAAAAGAACAACAAAGAAAACACUAGCGGAAGACUUCGUCGGGGUCGGACAUCCCUGGUGAGGCCAACCGGGAUAUCACUGGUUCCUUUCCUCGCCGUCCGAGGAGGGAUCCCACUCGACCGUCCAGCCUGGCGGAAGUUGGGGCGGCCAAGCGCCAGCAAGAGAGGGUCGGGCGCAGCAACCUCACCUGAAAAACAGGAGCCACAACAAGGCUGAGCUACUAAGCUCAACAAGACUUAACCGAUAGGAGUGAGCUACUCCUCCAUCUAGACAUGCAAGGCUUUUUGGCUGAGGGGUUGUUUGCCAAAAGCACUAAGUAACCCUAUUUUCAAGUUUUAGCUCCGGUUCUAGGUUCAUUUACCAGUCUAGGUGGUGCGAUCUAUUCUAAGCAAUCAUAGAGCCAAACAAGAUGUGUAGAUAUAACAACAACUUUGCCAUCAUCAGAUUCCUCAUUUACUCAGGGUGACAUAGCGAUCAAGCAAUCUCAAACUGUGAGAGGCAGACGAAUCGAUUCGAGUUCUUUAACCAUGCAUGGUGAACCUAGCCUCACGACAUCCGCGCACCCGGAGGUCGCUUCCUGUGUCGGCCUUCUCCAUCAAUCCCCUAACCCGUGUCGGGCCCAUUUCCUUUGGUGCAAGGUUCCACAGACUCGGCCUCUGCCGUCCCGUGACCACGCUUGCCACCACGUGCGACAAUCAGCAGGGGAAACUCCGUUCCAAGAACAAUGGGGCGACCGCUCACGUCUAGGUUCAAUCCGGUACUAGGCUUCCUCAUCCCAUACUAAGUAUGAGGCUAGUACUUUCAAACACUUGAUCACGAACACCACCACUGUCGGGCCUUAGCAAAAAUUUCAUAGACAGACGGGGCAACAAACCAUCCACCAAAGAGUUACCCAAGCCUGCCCCGUCCAUCGUCCUUAUAGUUGUAACAGGAGAGUAAACAAGCAACUCCUACAACUCGCGAGUGACAGGAAAUCACUCGGCUUUUACCGUCUCCUAGUUAAGCCAUGCAUCUACUCGGUCCAACAGCUAGUGCUCAGAUCAUGGGGACACUAAGUCAUGCAUCUAGGGUUUCAUACAACUCCUAUACGUAAAUGCACAAGCAUGUUACAGAAGGCAUGCGCAAGUCUGGUAAAACACAUAGGACUUCCAUGCAACCGGGGCUUGCCUUCAAGCAAAGAGGAGGGAAACGGCUCGACUUCUGGGGCGACUUCGGCUUCUGCGGGCAGGAACUCGGCUACAGCUUCUUCUUCUGGCGCCGGGUGCAACUCGUAGAAGCCGUCGGCGAGGUGCAGCUCUGUACGAAUGCAAUGCAAGGGUUAGCUUAGACAGUUAUUUCAACAGCAACACUGGCUCGCCUGAGCCCAGAAACUUGCGACAAAGAGCAGAAGGGUGGGGAGGUUCAAGAGAGCUAGCGAUGAUCAAGAGGCAAGGGUUGGAAAAGAACUUAUGAUCUGAUUCUUAAACUAGAGGAUGUGAUAUACUAGGGGUCCAUGAUUUGUAUAUUGUGUUCAUUGAAUAUCCAUUAAAGGCUACUUGAAUUGAUUUGCAAUUAUGUGAAUUGUAUGUGAAACUCUUUACUUGUAUGGUUAUUCUAAAGUUGUCCCUAGUCGGAGUUCAUGUGAGGACACACAUGAAUAUUAGACUAGCACAUGUAUUAGUUGAUGACUAUGUUUCACAAGUCAUGGACAUGGAGAUGUUGAACUAAUAAUGUGGACACAUGUGGCGACAUGUGUUAGGACUGACCCAACACGAGAAGUAGUUCUCUCUUUAAAACAACAUAUACGCUUUGUCCUUAGACCUGAGAUUGUCGCAUGUAUUCUAGAUGUGGAUCGACCUACUUAGGGGCUAUCAAACGCUACACCGUAACAGGGUAGUUAUAAAGGUAGUUUUCGGGUUUGUCAAGAAGCAUGCUAUGAGACAUGGUCAAUCAAGAUGGGAUUUGCCCCUCUCUGAUUGAGAGUGAUAUCUCUGGGCCCCUCGAGUGAUUGGAUCCGAAAAUGCAUGGCCAUGCUACGUACGGUUAAGAGUUAACCUACAAAGGGAUUCCGAAUCACAGGAUCGAGAAAGAGCGGUCGGCUUGAAGCUAGACCAAAUAUCGUGAGGCAAAGGGAAUAGCAUGUAUAUUAUAUUGUGAUGGUUCGUCUGAUAUGAUCUUCGUGUGCGUAUAGGAGUUGGCACGUCUUGCUAGAGGCCGCUACCGACUAUUGGGCUGAGUAGGAGUACUCGGGCCAUGUCUAUACGUAUCCGAACCCAUAGGGUCGCACACUUAAGGGGCUGGAAGCCCAAUUCGGAUCUGAUCCGAGUUGGAUUAGGUUUAGGAGUACUAAUGGGCCUCGGAUCCUGAGGCCCAUCAGGAACCUCUAUAAAUAGAGGGGUGGGGGCGCCCUAGGGUUUACACCUUUUGGCGAAACACACCUGCCGCGCCUCCCACGCCCUCGCCUGUUGCAACUCGCGGAUCUAGCAGUCCGGCUUGCGACGCUUCCUCCCUGCACGUGUGGAUACCUUGGAGGUGUUGCGCCUGCAGCACUUGGACGAGCCGCCGACGAGCCACGACGAGCCGACGACGAGCCGCGGCACCGGAGGCGAUCUUGCUGCACGUGGGAGCUGCUGGACGUGACGUGAUCGACUACGUACGACUACGUUGAUCGACUACGUACGACUACGUGAUUGUCUUCACUGCAUCGACGCAUAUCUACAUCUUCCGCACCAGUAGUGCGUCGAGUGGUAAUCCCGUGAUCCUUAUACGGCAGUUCUUCCUAGUUAUACGCGGUAGAAAUUUUGAUUUACGCUAGUGUAGCCUACCUCGUAUCCCUACAGUGGUAUCAGAGCCGUAGCUGCUUAGUUUUGGAUUCGGGAUGUGUGCAUAUGGAGAUAUGCGAGUUUUCUGUUUGAUCUAUGUCCUGGUUUCGUGCCCUUGCUGCAAUGGUAGUGUAACGACAUACUCCUACCGGUCGGUUUCCGCCAUCGGAGUUAAGUGAUACAUGUAAAUCCAGUUGCAGUGAGCGAAGAUCAAUAUGAUUGGUCGAAUCGAGAUCCAGGGUCAUACGCCAGGCGCAUUAGAUGUGCAAUAGUAUAUGGGAUCUACUGCCGGGGUCGGGAUUUUGCCGUAUGCGUAUGCUUCGGUAAAUCAGCCGUAACUUUUCGGUACGAUCUCGGAUCGGGGUGAUUUUUAUACGAAAAUUGAUCUACAGAAAAAGUUACACAUGAAUUUCAACAAUUUCGCCGUUUUCGGCGAAAUUAGAUUUCCCAAAUUCGGCUUGGAAGAUGGAGUUUCGGGCCUCCAAAGUUUGGAACGUUAGGACGCCUAACUCUGUUUUGCAGGAUGUAUGUAUGUAUCUUGUGAUCAGUAUGGCCCCCUUGUGUAUGUGAUGCAUGUGUGUAACUCAUUCGUGACCAGCGUGUCGCGCGUACGGCAACACGGCAGGAGCCAUAUGUGUUGUCACUUUAUUGUAUUUAAUGGUCUGCGUACCAAUCUGUGAUGAUCCAAGCAACUAUGUAAUCUUCAUUACUAGAUUCUUUACUAGCUAUUAGGCGUAAUAGCAUGCUCUAGUUCUUGGAGGACUCAUCACCAGGAGGAUGGCGCACAUGGAACAUGGAGAUGGAGAUCACCAUGGUGAACAGGUUCUAUGGAGAUGGAGAUCACCAUAUGAAAACGGGCCAUACUGUGUCACAACUGUGUGAAUGCUAUUCUAUUUAUGUUUUACUUUCUGCAUGCUGUGAUGUUAGAAGUAGAACGAUCCCUCACAAAGUUUAAGUUAGUAUGCCCUCCCAACUAAAACUUGCACCGUCCCAUGUCUUGUACAAUUAGUGGUGGGUCUAUGAAAUUAGGGUGCCACUAGUUUUCCUUGACUAGAUGGGUUUGUGUCGGACACUUACACGCAUAAGGGUUGGUUUGCUUAACAAGGUUAUCUUAACGGUUAAGGACCUUGGGGUAUAAAGGUUGGGCGCCGAGACAUAGAGAUGUCACCCAACAACAGGAGUCAUAUGUGAUAUGAUUAGCAAAAGUUGCUUACCGAUCUACCUCGUUUGCUAGCGGUGAUGCAAAAGCUCACUAGUAAACUUGUUAGUUGUGGAUCGUGAAUCACUAAGUUUCAAUAGAGGGAUAUUGAUUUUAGUGGGAGUAGAUUCUGUUAAAAUAGUUUAAUAUAAUUUGCUCUAUCAUGGAUACGUUUGUCUUAGUGUAUUUUGCAUUACUUUUGUUGUAGAUUAAAUGGCACCUAGCAACACCACCACAUCGUUUGCUUUGCGUUCGGUCCUUGAGAAGGACAAGUUGAAUGGAACAAACUACUCGGAUUGGAUCCGUAACCUGAGAAUUGUUCUCAGGGCUGAGAAAAAGGAAGAUGUUCUAGACAACCCACUACCAGAAGAACCUGCUGAUGAUGCACCCGCUGCUGCUAAGAAUGCUUACAAGAAAGCAUGUGAUGCUAACCUCGAAGUAAGCUGCCUUAUGCUUGCUUGCAUGGAACCCGAGUUGCAGAUGCAGUUCGAAACAAACCAUGAGGCGCACGAUAUGAUCGUGGCGCUUAGAGACAUGUUCCAAACACAGGCCAGGACUGAAAGGUUCAAUGUGUCUAAGGCCUUUGUUGAGAGCAAGCUAGCAGAAGGCGCAGCAGUAGGACCACACGUAAUCAAGAUGGUUGGUUACACUCAACGGUUGGAGAAGCUAGGGUUCCCAUUGGGCCAAGAGUUGGCCACUGAUUUCAUUCUUUCGUCUCUUCCACCUAGCUAUGGGAACUUCAUCUCGAACUACCAUAUGCAUGGGACAGAGAAGGGUCUUAAUGAGCUGUGUGGCAUGCUUAAAACAGCAGAGGCUGACAUCAAGAAAAGCGCUAGUACCAGCCAUGUGAUGGCGAUACAGAACAAGCCCAACUUUAAGAAGAAGGGCAAUUCUUGGAAGAAGAAGGGCAAGGCUGGAACGUCCAAGCCAAACCCACCGCCCAAGGUUAAAGCUGGACCUGGACCUGCUCCAGACAAAGAGUGCUUUUACUGUCAUGAACUUGGUCACUGGAAGAGAAACUGCAAGCAGUACCUAGCUUCCUUGAAGAAUGGCGGAAGUAAGAGUACUUCUACCUCAGGUGCGCUUGUUGUUAAUGUUAUAGACAACAUAUUUCUCGCUGAUACAAUUAUUAAUUCUUGGGUAUUUGAUACCGGAUCGGUUGCUCAUAUUUGCAAUUCGAUGCAGGGAAUGAUAAGAAGUAGAAGCGUGGAAAGAGGAGAAGUUGAUUUCCGCGUGGGCAAUAAUGCAAGAGUUGCUGCGUUGACCGUCGGGACGAUGCAACUCCACCUCCCGUCAGGAUUUAUUAUGGAGUUGAAUAAUUGUUAUUUUGUUCCUAGUUUAAGUCGAAACAUUUUAUCUCCUUCAUGCUUGAUGAAGGAUGGUUAUUCAUUUGCGAGUGAAAACAAUGGUUGUGUGAUCUCUAAGAAUAAUAUGUUUAUGGCUUUUGCACCCAUUGUGAAUGGAUUAUUUGUUUUAAAUCUUGAUGGUUCACCUGUCUGUAAUGUAAGUGCUAAAAAGCCUCGGCCUAAUGAUUUGAGUCCUACCUACUUGUGGCAUUGUCGUUUGGGUCAUAUAAGUGAAAAGCGCAUGAAGAAGCUCCAUUCUGAUGGACUUCUAACUUCGUUUGAUUUUGAAUCAUACGAGAUAUGUGAGGCUUGCUUGCUAGGCAAGAUGACCAAGACGCCUUUCACAGGAUUUCCUGAGAGAGCAGUAGACUUGUUGGAACUCGUACAUAGUGAUGUAUGCAGACCAAUGAGCACGACGGCUAGAGGAGGAUUCCAAUACUUCAUAACAUUCACUGAUGAUUUUAGUAGAUAUGGCUAUGUCUACUUGAUGAGGCACAAGUCUGAAACCUUUGAAAAGUUCAAGGAAUUUCAGAAUGAAGUUGAAAAUCAGCGUGGCAAGAAAAUUAAGGCCUUACGAUCUGAUCGUGGAGGCGAGUAUUUGAGCCACGAGUUUAGCAAUCAUCUAAAGAGUUGCGGAAUUGUUCCACAACUUACGCCGCCUGGAACACCUCAGAGAAACGGUGUGUCCGAGCAACGUAAUCGAACUUUGUUAGACAUGGUUCGAUCAAUGAUGAGCCAGUCGGACCUACCGUUGUCAUUUUGGGGAUACGCUCUAGAAACAGCAGCUUUCACACUAAAUAGGGUACCAUCUAAAUCCGUAGUUAAGACACCAUAUGAGAUAUGGACUGGAAAUGUUCCUAGUUUGUCUUUUCUAAAGAUUUGGGGAUGUGAAGUGUUUGUCAAGCGACUUCAGUCGGACAAGAUCACACCCAAGUUGGAUAAGUGCAUUUUCGUGGGAUAUCCAAAGGAAACUUUGGGAUAUUAUUUCUACAACCGAUCAGAAGGCAAAGUGUUUGUCGCUCGGAACGGGGUUUUCCUAGAGAAAGAGUUUCUCAAAGGAGAAAAGAGUGGAAAGACAGUGCAUCUUGAAGAAGUUCAAGAUGAACCAAUCGGGCAAGAAUCAAUGAGUGAUGCUAACGUAGCAGAACAAGUUGAGAUACCCAUGGCAAGAGAAGCACCGCCACAACCACGAAGGUCAGCAAGGCUCCGCGAAAUGCGAGAAAUAUUAUUGUUGGACAAUGAUGAGCCUGCGACAUAUGCAGAAGCAAUGAUGGACCCAGACUCCGAAAAAUGGCAGAGUGCCAUGCAAUCCGAAAUAGAGUCCAUGGGAGACAAUCAAGUUUGGAACUUGGUUGACCCGCCUGAUGGUGUUAAAGCCAUAGAGUGCAAGUGGAUCUAUAAGAAGAAAAAGGACAUGGAUGGAAAUGUUCACAUCUAUAAAGCACGACUUGUCGCAAAAGGUUUUCGACAAGUUCAAGGAGUUGACUACGACGAGACCUUCUCGCCCGUAGUGAUGCUUAAGUCCAUUCGGAUUAUUCUAGCUAUAGCUGCAUAUUUCGAUUAUGAGAUAUGGCAGAUGGAUGUCAAGACAGCUUUCCUGAAUGGAAACCUAACUGAGGACGUGUAUAUGAUACAGCCCGAGAGUUUUGUCGAUCCGAAAAAUGCUGGAAAGGUAUGCAAGCUUCAGAGAUCCAUUUAUGGAUUGAAGCAAGCAUCUAGGAGUUGGAACAUUCGUUUUGAUGAAGUGGUCAAAGGGUUUGACUUCACCAAGAACGAAGAAGAAUCUUGUGUUUACAAGAAGGUUAGUGGGAGCUCUAUAGUAUUUCUAAUCUUAUAUGUGGAUGACAUAUUACUAAUUGGAAAUAACAUUCUUAUGCUUGAGUCCGUAAAGACUUCACUGAAAAAUAGUUUUUCGAUGAAGGACUUAGGGGAAGCGGCAUAUAUUCUGGGCAUUAAGAUCUAUAGAGAUAGAUCGAGAAGGCUUAUAGGUUUAAGCCAAGAUACUUACAUUGACAAAGUGUUGAAGCGGUUCAGCAUGGAAGAGGCAAAGAAAGGGUUCUUGCCUAUGUCACAUGGCAUACAUCUCAGCAAGACUCAGUGUCCUUCGACUGCUGAUGAGCGGGAUCGCAUGAGUAGAGUGUCAUAUGCCUCGGCUAUUGGAUCUAUCAUGUAUGCAAUGAUAAGUACUCGCUCAGAUGUUUCAUAUGCGCUAAGUAUGACAAGCAGACACCAAUCUGAUCCAGGUGAGAGUCACUGGACAGCGGUGAAAAACAUUCUUAAGUACUUGAGAAGGACUAAAGAUAUGUUCCUCGUCUAUGGAGGUGAGGAGGAGCUCGUUGUAACAGGUUACACCGAUGCUAGUUUCCAAACCGACAGAGAUGAUUCAAAGUCACAAUCAGGAUUUGUGUUCACACUAAAUGGUGGUGCUGUUAGUUGGAAGAGUUCCAAGCAGGAGACGGUGGCCGAUUCUACGACAGAAGCCGAGUACAUCGCGGCUUCGGAAGCCGCGAAGGAAGGUUUUUGGAUAAGGAAUUUCCUCAUUGAGCUUGGUGUGUUCCCGAAUGCGUCCAGCCCAUUGAAUCUCUACUGUGAUAAUAAUGGGGCAAUUGCGCAAGCAAAGGAGCCAAGGAACCACCAGAAGAAUAAACACGUAAUGCGGCGAUUUCAUCUCAUUCGAGAUCAAGAUAUGCAAAAUACACACGGAUCUGAACAUUUCUGAUCCGUUGACAAAACCACUCCCGCAGGCUAAGCAUGAUGCGCAUGUAAGAGCUAUGGGUAUUAGGUACCUUCUAGAUUGACUCUAGUGCAAGUGGGAGACUGUUGGAGGUAUGCCCUAGAGGCAAUCAUAGAGAUGAUGAUAUUCCAUUUGUAUCCAUGAUUUGUAUAUUGUGUUCAUUGAAUAUCCAUUAAAGGCUACUUGAAUUGAUUUGCAAUUAUGUGAAUUGUAUGUGAAACUCUUUACUUGUAUGGUUAUUCUAAAGUUGUCCCUAGUCGGAGUUCAUGUGAGGACACACAUGAAUAUUAGACUAGCACAUGUAUUAGUUGAUGACUAUGUUUCACAAGUCAUGGACAUGGAGAUGUUGAACUAAUAAUGUGGACACAUGUGGAGACAUGUGUUAGGACUGACCCAACACGAGAAGUAGUUCUCUCUUUAAAACAACAUAUACGCUUUGUCCUUAGACCUGAGAUUGUCGCAUGUAUUCUAGAUGUGGAUCGACCUACUUAGGGGCUAUCAAACGCUACACCGUAACAGGGUAGUUAUAAAGGUAGUUUUCGGGUUUGUCAAGAAGUAUGCUAUGAGACAUGGUCAAUCAAGAUGGGAUUUGCCCCUCUCUGAUUGAGAGUGAUAUCUCUGGGCCCCUCGAGUGAUUGGAUCCGAAAAUGCAUGGCCAUGCUACGUACGGUUAAGAGUUAACCUACAAAGGGAUUCCGAAUCACAGGAUCGAGAAAGAGCGGUCGGCUUGAAGCUAGACCAAAUAUCGUGAGGCAAAGGGAAUAGCAUGUAUAUUAUGUUGUGAUGGUUCAUCUGAUAUGAUCUUCGUGUGCGUAUAGGAGUUGGCACGUCUUGCUAGAGGUCGCUACCGACUAUUGGGCCGAGUAGGAGUACUCGGGCCAUGGCUAUACGUAUCCGAACCCAUAGGGUCGCACACUUAAGGGGCUGGAAGCCCAAUUCGGAUCUGAUCCGAGUUGGAUUAGGUUUAGGAGUACUAAUGGGCCUCGGAUCCAGAGGCCCAUCAGGAACCUCUAUAAAUAGAGGGGUGGGGGCGCCCUAGGGUUUACACCUUUUGGCGAAACACACCUGUCGCGCCUCCCACACCCUCGCCUGUUGCAACUCGCGGAUCUAGCAGUCCGACUUGCGACGCUUCCUCCCUGCACGUGUGGAUACCUUGGAGGUGUUGCGCCUGCAGCACUUGGACGAGCUGCCGACGAGCCACGACGAGCCGACGACAAGCCGCGACACCGGAGGCGAUCUUGCUGCACGUGGGAGCUGCUGGACGUGACGUGAUCGACUACGUACGACUACGUUGAUCGACUACGUACGACUACGUGAUCGUCUUCACUGCAUCGACGCAUAUCUACAUCUUCCGCACCAGUAGUGCGUCGAGUGGUAAUCCCGUGAUCCUUAUACGGCAGUUCUUCCUGGUUAUACGCGGUAGAAAUUUUGAUUUACGCUAGUGUAGCCUACCUCGUAUCCCUACAAGCGGAGACCGAGCGGCGCGACUGUGGCUGAAGGGACGGAAAAGACGGGCGACAUCGGGCUCUGGGGCUGGGAUCUGGCGGUGUGAUGAUGGGCGUGGGAGGCGAGGCUCUGCAGAAAGGGGUGCAGAGGAGCUUCCGCUGCCAUUGGGGAAAAGGGGCGCGAGAAACCACUCGGUCGCUUGCCAGAGACAAAACUGAGCGGCUGGCGUCGGAGAAGACGAGCCACGCGGCAGGGAGACUCUGAAGCGGGCAUGCAACUCGAGUGUGGCUGUCGCGGAGGAUCUGAGAAAAGAUCUCACGGGUCCACCGGUGGAUAGAACGGAUGGUUGAGGAAGACUAGCAGGAUCCGACGGUGGGCUGCGCUGGCCAGGGUCGGGGGAGGAACGAAGCGGGGAGGGGUCGGAUCUCAGGGGUCGAAACCAGGCGGAUAGCUGAGCACUUAGGCGCGGUCAAGCAAGACAGAUGACUAAGGAAAAAGGGCUCCGAUUAGAUUAACUCGGGAGGUUUAGGGGUCGGUCGUUACACUCGAGGGUUUAGACAGGUUCGUAAUACCCUACGUUCUGUAUUUUGGGGGUUUGUAUUGCUCGAGAAUUGAG
rnacentral:lncRNA from 1 species